UCGGUAAGUAUGCCAUUUUAUGUUUUGAAAUAUAUUAUUAAUUAUUUUGAAUUCUGAUUAAAAUUUACAGCCUUCGAGUCCACUGGCUAGUGCUCUCGGACAUGAGUAGGUAUUAAUAAUCUCGUUUUGAAAAUUAAAUCGUACAAAAUAUUCAAGUGGUAUCCAACUUUCAAGUUUUAUUCGUAUCAUAAAAAAGUGAUUAUUUUGCCGUGAAGGUUCAAUUUUAGACGGUUUUACAUUUUUACAUUCUCUUGGGAUUUACGAAAACACAAUACUGGACCUCCUAACUAUUUUCUAUGUAGAUAUAACUGGCAUAUAGGAAAACUCUCGAAGUAUACAUACCUACAUAAUGGUAGUAUCUUUGCUACUAGAGUUCAUAAUGAAAAGAUGAACCCACCAAAUAUUACCCUAGGUGACAGUACAUAGAUGGCAUAAGCACAGUCAGUACAUAAACAAAUAAUUUAUCAUACGAGAUUAAUGGUUUUGUUUACAGUCUACAAGCACGAAAUUUGAGCGGCUGAUCAAAAUAAAGCACUUUUCAUACACGACAAACAUUGGUUAAUUUCAAAAACAAAACAUGAUAUUGCAAUUGCCUACGUAACGCACUUUUCAUACACGACAAACAUUGAUUAAUAUACCUAUAAAAAACAAAAUAAUGAUAUUGCAAAUUACGUAAACAUUACCCGGUUGUAAGUACAUUAUAAAUACCCUUCAGUAAUUCACUCUCAUCAACAGUUAUUCCUUUUCACUAAAUUAACAGUGGUGCACGAAUUGUGUAUUAUACUUACUAGUAUCAACUAUCAAGUCAAUCGUUGAAGCUCUUUUUUUCAAAAAAAUCAACAUGCAGAUUACUUAUUUGAUUGGUUUCGCAGUUAUGGCGAUUUUAGGCACAAGUCUAAUGGUGAUGGCUAUACCAAAGCCCAUCAAUCCAGCUGCGAUUGGUUCAUUAGCUGGUGGUGGAUUAGGUAAAUGAAGACGAUCAAUACGGGAUCAUUCGUCAAUCUGGCUUGCUCAAUGAAACAGAUAUUCACCUAUCUGUCUAGUUUUUAAUCAAUUAUUUUUAAAACAAAAUUACCUAUACCUACUUAUGCAAUAGAGUGUGUGCACACAAUAUCAUUUAAUCUUAAUAAAAAGUUCAGGCAUAA